CCAGCCUCAGGACCGCUUUCCUUCCUCCGCCCAUUGCUCCCAGUCGCGUCCCUUCCCGGCCGCCGUAGAGCAAGCGACGCGGGAGUUCGGCAGUCGCGUCGCCUAGGCAACGGCUCGGCGGCGGGCUGCGGGCGCCAGGCGGCCCCGGGGAGGCGCUCGCGCCGGCGGCCGGGGCUCUACGAGGCGACAAGGCGGCAGACUUUCUGCACUGGCUAAUCAAGAGUGAAAAACCUGAAGAGAUGCAGGCAGGAAAACGGAAUUAAACUAGGCC
rnacentral:lncRNA from 1 species